rnacentral:rRNA from 1 species
AUGAGAUCAAUGGAGGGCAUGCCGGGAGCCCCAAACAUGAAGAUGUACUGUAGAAACGAUUUGAUGAAGAACAACUUUGGUGCCGAAGGUGAUGAAGUUGACGGUGAAGACGAGGAAUACAAAUUACCAAAGAACUUGGGAAACAUUCUAAAAAACAUGGGUCCGCAAAAGAAAGACCUAAAACAACAGGUCGUGAAACAGAUCAAGGAUACCAGCAAGAAAUUGAAAGGUCAUGUGAGCAAGGUGACCAAGGUGGUAAAGAAUUGGUGGAAGGGGAAGAAAAAGCCUGCAAAAUCAAUCAAAAGCGAGCUACGAAGA